UACGAACUGUGCGAACGUUAUUCGGAAUCACUGGGCUUACAGGGUGCGUAGGCGGCCGAACAAGUCAGGUGUGAAAGCCCUCGGCUCAACCGAGGAACUGCGCUUGAAACUGUUUGGCUCGAGUCAGCUAGAGGUACACGGAACUUCCAGUGGAGCGGUGAAAUGUGUUGAUAUUGGAAGGAACACCGGAGGCGAAAGCGGUGUACUGGGGCUGGUCUGACGCUGAGGCACGAAAGCCAGGGGAGCGAACGGGAUUAGAACCUCGU
rnacentral:rRNA from 1 species